UACGGAGGAUGCGAGCGUUAUCCGGAUUUAUUGGGUUUAAAGGGUGCGCAGGCGGAGGCACAAGUCAGCGGUAAAACCGCGGGGCUCAACCCCGCUCCGCCGUUGAAACUGUGUCCCUUGAGUGCGCGAAGGGUAGGCGGAAUGCGUGGUGUAGCGGUGAAAUGCAUAGAUAUCACGCAGAACUCCGAUCGCGAAGGCAGCCUACCGGCGCGCGACUGACGCUCAUGCACGAAAGCGUGGGUAUCGAACAGG
rnacentral:rRNA from 1 species